rnacentral:lncRNA from 1 species
UGGAGCUACACCAUUUUACACCAGCUGAAGAUCUGGACUUUAGCCUCUUGUGCAGAGGACUUCAAAGGUGAGAGAGAUCCUGUUUUACAAGCUCAGGUAUCACAGCUCUGACAAAUGAGUAAUCUUGAAAGAACUUGUCUUUGUCCUCCUCCCUUUUAUCCUUGAGGGAAAGAGCUUCAGUAACACCCUUGAGGCCACUGAGUUUAAAGCAGGACAUUUCUCACUUUGUCUUCAAAGUAUAGACCCUCAUCUUGUAUGGUACUGAAUGCCGACACCUCCUAUUGACUGAACUCUGCAGGAUUAGAUUGUAACUAGUGAGGUGCACAUAUAGGAAGGUGACUGGAAGAAAAUUCAGUGGAAUAUUUUUCCCACCAAGAGCAUUGAUGGGUGCACUUUCUUCUCCACCACUGGAAUUUCUCCUUUCUCUUCUCAGCGUUUCCUUUCUUGGAUGAAAUAUUUUACAGAAGUUUUGAGGCUUGUUUGCUUUUGCAAUCUUAGGAGGCAUCUGGUGCUGGUGAAAACACAUCUGAACACUUCCUAUUUGGUCUGCCAUUAAAUAUCUAGUACAGCUGUUCUGAACAUCCCAUCCCAAGCUGGAAUAGGAAGAGAAGUCCAGCCAGCCAUUUCCCCUGUGGCCAGCCGUAAGGAUCUUCCGGAAGGUAUGUGCUUUGGAUUUCAUCCCCCGACUAUUACACUCAUAAUGUCAGACCCCCAACG